rnacentral:rRNA from 1 species
CUUGGGUGGCGACCGGCGCACGGGUGAGUAACGCGUAUGCAACUUACCUAUCAGAGGGGGAUAGCCCGGCGAAAGUCGGAUUAAUACCCCAUGAAACAGGGGUCCCGCAUGGGAAUAUUUGUUAAAGAUUCAUCGCUGAUAGAUAGGCAUGCGUUCCAUUAGGCAGUUGGCGGGGUAACGGCCCACCAAACCGACGAUGGAUAGGGGUUCUGAAAGGAAGGUCCCCCACAUUGGUACUGAGACACGGACCAA